rnacentral:rRNA from 1 species
CCCUUAGAUGUUCUGGGCCGCACGCGUGCUACACUGAGUAAUUCAAUGGGUAAGGGAACGCUAGAGCAUUACCUAAUCUUGAAAUUUGCUCGUGAUGGGGAUCGACGGUUGCAAUUUUCCGUCGUGAACGAGGAAUACCUUGUAGGCGCAUGUCAUCAUCCUGCGCCGAAUACGUCCCUGCCCUUUGUACACACCGCCCGUCGCUCCUACCGAUUGAGUGAUCCGGUGAGGCUCUGGGACCUGGACGGAAAGAGCGUUUCGCUUGUUCUGUUUGGGAAACUUGGUCGAACCUUAUCAUUUAGAGGAAGGAGAAGUCGUAACA